rnacentral:rRNA from 1 species
UACAGAGGUCUCAAGCGUUGUUCGGAUUCAUUGGGCGUAAAGGGUGCGUAGGUGGCGUGGUAAGUCUGGUGUGAAAUCCCGGGGCUCAACCCCGGAACUGCACUGGAUACUGCCAUGCUUGAGUACUGGAGAGGAGAUUGGAAUUUACGGUGUAGCAGUGAAAUGCGUAGAUAUCGUAAGGAAGACCAGUGGCGAAGGCGACUUCCUGGCCUGUUCUUGACGCUGAGGCGCGAAAGCUAGGGUAGCAAACGGG